AGCUUUGCGCAGUGGCAGUAUUGUAGCCAAUGAGGUUUAUCCGAGGCGCGAUUAUUGCUAAUUGAAAUUAAGAGACCAAGAAAGUGAGAGAGAAUGAGACAGAAAGGAACAAUUUUAAAAUGUUUUUCAAAUCUUUCCAAUUUCUCAGGAG
rnacentral:snRNA from 1 species